UUCAUGCCGAGCCAUACAGACAAUCUGCAUUGAUUCAUCUGCCGGACAUAUCACCAAUUCAUUAGCGCUGUUGUGACAUCUCAGACUCCACCCCCCACCCCCAUCCAAAAAGACUCCAUCAGCGGUUUUAAUUAAAACAAACCAGGAAAAAAAAAAGUUAAUAGAAAGACUACAUUCAAGGACAAGAGCGCUAUUGAGCGGCCAGCUAAUAGAAGUCACAGAUGACGGCUCAGGCUGGAGUGCAUACGUCGGUCGGGUUUGGAGGCUCCGCAUCGAGAGAUCAAUGGCUGGGAAACGGAGACCGGUCACAUUAAUGGUGCGCAUCAUCUCAAAGGGCACUUUCCCUCCCAGGAAGCUUCACAACACAAACGGAGGAGAACCAGAGGAACCUUUUCUGAAGAAUAUAUAUGACAAGAAACGUCCCGCAGAAAUUUGGUAUGGGCUUGCUGAUUCCUCCAAAUCCGAAAGCUGCAUUUGUGAAGACAUCAUGGGCCAGGCUGCUGCUCUGCUGUGGAACAAAGAAAAUGAGCAUCUAACAAAGAGCCAUAACACGCAGCACCACAAUGGGUGUCUAAAUCAGACAGAAAUCAGAUUAUCUUUUUUUCCUCCAAGAUUCAGAACUCAUGGACUGUAUUCACAGGUUUUGAUUAUUGGCUUGUUAGGAUCAUUUGAUUCUUGGUC